GUGAGUUUUCAGUUGUAGGGCCUUUCUGUCCAUUCAUGUACUGGCUGGAAUCCAUUCUGAAAGCAAAAUAAUUCCUUGGGGAGGACAGAAAGGCCAUUAGCACUUGCAGAACUGCUGCCAAGGCCAAGAAAGAAGUCAACCACAAACUGGCCAAAACCUGUUUUUUAUAAAGGUGACCAGGACAUAAAGUCCAAAAACUGAACAGUGUCCUGAUCAGUGAAAAAGUAAAGAACAAAGCCAGUGGACAAUAAUUUAUUUAUAUCAGAUGCU